rnacentral:lncRNA from 1 species
UGACGUCCUAGGGGAGGGGGUACUGUCACGGUAGGAAUCCAUUGUUUCCUCCGUGUCAUGUUUUGUGUUUGUUUUUGUACUCAUGUAGUCUCCAUGUGCUCGUUUGGUUGAUUGUUGUCACCUGUGUGUUGAUUGUCUCGCUCCAGCUGAUCCUCAUCUCCACUCAGCUACAUAUACUCACUCAUCUCUCUGUCUGUUGUCAGAUCCUCAUUCAUGUUUCCACUGCUUAGUUGGUUUACCGUCUUCCGUGUUCGUGUGCUGGAUUGUGUUCGUGUUGUCGUCUUCGUGUCAGUGUUCCGGUCUGUUCCUGGUUUCAUCCAUUGACCGUCUUCACCUUCACCUGCGACUUCACCAUCCAGCUCUUCUCACGCCCCCGUAGACCUUCGUUUCCAUUGCCUACAUUCUGGACUCUGAUUUCAAUAAACUUCUUCUGAUUGCCUGCAAUUGCUUCCUCCUCUUUUACCAGCCGUCACAGUAGGAUCUGACCAUCAUGGAAGCAGCAGGCGAUCGCUCCCCAUCUCAUCUGGAGGAGUUUCUGCAGAGAGCCGUUGGUCGUAUGGAUCGCCAAGACAAGGCGAUAGAUGAGAUGGGUCGAGCUUUCCAAGCAAUGGUGACGAAGGUGUCCGAGCUCGCUCUCCAGGCUCAACGACAACAACAACCGCCACCCGCUGCGCCUCCCACGCCACCCACACCGCCGAUCGUCUCCGGAGGGAUUUCCCAGUCCGAACCACGCCUCCCCAUCCCUGAGAAAUAUGCGGAUCCUCAUUCAUGUCUCCACUUCCUAGUUGGAUUACCGUCUUCCGUGUUCGUGUGCUGGAUUGUGUUCGUGUUGUCGUCUUCGUGUCAGUGUUCCGGUCUGUUCCUGGUUUCAUCCAUUGACCGUCUUCACCUUCACCUUCGACUUCACCAUCCAGCUCUUCUCACGCCACCGUAGACCUUCGUUUCCAUUGCCUACAUUCUGGACUCUGAUAUCAAUAAACUUCUUCUGAUUGCCUGCAAUUGCUUCCUCCUCUUUUACAAGCCGUCACAUAAAGAUGAUGGUAUUGAGUGUACGAAUGAGUUGCUAAAGGGUUUGGAGAAGAUGGACUGAGUUUAUGGGUUUUAUGCAUGUUUUUGUAUGUUUUAUGCUUUUAAGAAUUGUUACUUUUGUGAAAGUGAUAUGACAUACAGUCAAGUUUGGAGACCCAUACUCAGAAUUCGUGCUCUGCAUUUAACCAAUCCAAAGUGCAUAGACACAGCAGUGAACACACACCCGGAGCAGUGGGCAGCCA